rnacentral:lncRNA from 1 species
UGAACUUUAACUUGAGCCUGACUCCCCGAAGGCAUAUAUUGCUGCGAGCUGGAUCUAAAAUAUUGGGCUGGGUUAACAAAAGAUCCUUGAAAUCGAACCCGACCAUACUUUUCAAGACCCAAAACUUCAGCAAUAAUUUGAUUAUCAAUGUUGUCAACAUUAAUAGAACUAUCACUCGAAGCAACCGUUUCAUACUCCGCCUUUUUAUCAUUUAGGGCACGUUUGGUUCGCUGUAUUGGAUUAGAGGUAUAUUGGAUUAGAGGUGUAAUGGAAUAGAGGUGUAAUAGCAAAUCAACUGUUUGGUUGAAUGUAAUGGAAUAGAGGCGUAAUAGUAAUCUUGUUUUUGGUUGAAUGGAAUAGAGGUGUAAUAGCAUAAUGGAAAAACUAAAAUGACUAGAAUACCCUUAGCAUAAAUUUGUUUUGGUAAAUGAUUAUUGUUACUGUUAUUUAAAUUUUAAUAAGAUUAUUAUUAUCAAUAAUAAAUAAUUUAAUCAUAUUUAAACAUAAUUAUUAUUAAAUAUAUUUUAAUUAAAAUAUAUAAUUUAAUAAAAUUCUUAAUAAUUAGCAGAAAUUUGUUUUGGUAAAUUAUUAUUGUUAUUGUUAUUUAAAUUUUAAUAAGAUUAUUAAUAUCAAUAAUAAAUAAUUUAAUCAUAUUUAAACAUAAUUAUUAUUAAAUAUAUUAUAAUUAAAAUAUAUAAUUUAAUAAAAUUCUUAAUAAUUAAUAUUCUUAUAUGAAUUUACUCAAAUCAUAAUAUAUGAUACUGUAAAAUAUAAAUUAACAUAAUUAUUAUUAAAUAUAUUAUAAUUAAAAUAUAUAAUUUAAUAAAAUUCUUAAUAAUUAAUAUUCUUAUAUGAAUUUACUCAAAUCAUAAUAUAUGAUACUAUAAAAGAAAAUUUGAAAUAAUUAAUAUUAAAUAUAUUUUAAUUAAAAUAUAUGAUUUAAUAAAAUUUAAAAUAAUUAUAACUAAUAAAUUAUAUUUUAUGAAUUUGUAUAAUUUAAAAUAAUAAUUAUUACAUAUAAUUUAAUAAUAUAUAAUUUCAUAAAAUUCUUGAUAAUAAAUUUUCUUAUAUGAAUUUAUACAAUUUAAAAUAAUUAAUAUUAAAUAUAAUUUAAUAGUGAUAUAUAAUUUCAUAAAAUUCGUAAUAAUAAAAUGUUCUUAUAUGAAUUUACUAAAAUCAAUAUAUAACUUGAGAAUUAUAUUCUGUAUAAACAUAAUUAACUUAUAUUAAGAAAAUGUUAGAUGAAAAUGAAAUUGUACAUCAUAAUCCAUAUGUUAUAUAGUUUUACAACAUCAAAAAGUUUGAAUAUUAAUAUUUAAUGGUGAGAAAGAAAUCUUCUAACCCAUUCCAAUCGGGCAACAGAAGGUAAACUAAAGAAAACGAUCAUUUGAGUUGGAUGAUCGAGAAUUUUACUCAAAGCAUCAUACCGCUGAUCGUCGGUUAAACCUUCAAUUGACCAUAAGACUGAAUAUAAAUUUGAAGCUUUCUCUUCCAUCUUUUGAUGUUCUUCUGACUUCUGCUGAACUACCACCUCGGAGGUAAUACUCCUACUGAUUUGAUCGCCAACGGCCUGGAUUUUUUCCCCCAACAAAGUGGCAGCCUCAUCAAAUAAAGAAUACACAUUAAAUGCAGACGAGCCAUUACUGCAACACAUUAAAAUUAGAACACACUAUCAAAGAAUUGAAGUUGCAAUUACACAAUAUAAAAAAAAAUAAACACCACAAAUUUAGAACACACGAAGCAAAAAAGUAUCUAUUAAAUGAUAUCGUUUAGGGUUUAAUUUCAUUUCUUUAUCAAUCACCCAAACAAUAAUGAAACAAAAUAUAUUUAAAUACAUUUUAAAUAUAUUAAAAUUUAAAGGUAUAUGUAUAAUUGACCUAAAAUUAAUUGUUGGUAUUUGUUAGUUUAUUUAUUGAUGAUUAGUUUAAUUAAGGUAACCUAAGUUUAAAACAAAUAAAAUAAAGAAUGAGGAUUUGGUUUACUAAUGAAAUUGAAGUUUUAAAACUUUUAUAACAUUUUAAAUUUACAUUUCUUUUCGUAUUAAUAUAUUGUUUAGUUAAUUAAAGCAUGUUCAAAGUUUGAACAUGGAUUAGUUUGAACAUUUUAAAUUUAAAUUUAAAUUUAAAUAUAAUUUCGUAUAAUGAAAUGCGAAGAUUUAAUAAAGCAUGUUCAAAGUUUGAUCAUUGAUUAGUUUAUGUAUUGAUGAUUAGUUUAAUUAACUCUUUCUAAUUUUAAAACAAAUAAAAUGAAGAAUGAGGAUUUGGUUUAAUAAUGAAUUUUAAGUUUUAAAACUUUUAUAACAUUUUAAAUUUAAUGAUCAUUUUGUAAAAAUAUAUAUAACUUUUAUCUCAUUUACAUGUACAAAUAAUAAGAUAAAAAGUAGUAUUGUAUUUGCAAUUAUGAUGAGAAAAGAUUGAAAUGUAGUAUUGUAUUUACAUGUACAAAUAAUUGUGAUUUAAGCCCAUUAUUUGUAGGCUUAAAUAACAAUGCAUAUAAGGAAAUAAAAUUAAAACAUUCAUUCAAAAUAAUAAUGAAUUAGUAUGAAAUUGAAAAAAUUGAAGUUAAUGACAUAACAAGAAAUAAAAUAAUUAUUAAAAUCAAGAUAAAAAUAUAAAAAAAUUGCAGAUGAUUUCCAUUGCAACAAUAUCAAAAAACUGUCUGAAUUGAAAACAGUAGACAAUUUCCAUUGCUCACUAUCAAUACGAAUAUUUUAGCAGAGAAAUUUAAAAUCAAUAGACAAUAUCAUCUCAAAACAUAAAGAAAAUCAGAGUGAAACUACAUGUAAAUGAAGAAACAAUCAAGAGAUAGAAAAAUUUAAGUCAAUUAUGUAAUUUUCUUUCUAUUUUCUUUGCACUUACCUAAUUGUUGGUAUAUCUGUGCCAACUCUGCAGCUAAAAACAGCAGGCUCUAAUGUAAUUUUUGCUGCUGUUAUCGAAAUAUCUGACUCUGUUUUGAAGGGGGUAGAAGUAAGUGGUUUCAAUGGGAUGGUUUCAAUGUCUCAUUUUGCAUAUAUUUGCAUAAGUAUUACUAAGGAUAACUAGUAACGAGUGUCAUACUCAAAUUUUGUACCCUUAAUUCUAUAUCAUACUGUUCUGUUCAAGUCUCCUAUUACAGUAAUGAAAGCAGUAUUGACUAAUAAUGGUGAGGAUAUGGAUACCUAGUAACGAGUGUCAGAUACGAAACCAUGACCAGAGAACUUGAUAAACACACAUGUGCUAUUAAGCAGCGUCUUUAUGUGAUUAUGUUUGUAGGAAUUCAGAUUGUUAUUGCUUUGCCUCAUUGCUCAAUGGAUGCUGAUUUUUUCUGAAGUUAUUAAUCUAUUUGUUUUACUUUUGCUUUAAUGGUCACUGAUAAGGUUUCAACUUCUGCAGUUGUACAUUGAAAGAUACCUACAAGCUAUGUAUGACUCAAUGUACAGGCAAGAAUAUAUUCGACUGUGAGUAAUUGAUGACCAGGUAACUGAUUAAGUGAGAAAAUAGAAAUAUCAGUACUGCAACAACAUUUAUUUAUUUGAGAUUUAGAUGGCAGCGAAAGGGGACAUCUAAUUGCUGAGGCAUGUUUCAUAAUUAUAUUAUCACUUCUAACAAAGUGUUCAUCCAAAACAGAACCAUACAAAACAGAAACAACAAAAUCUGCUACAUCAAUCCAAACCUGCAAUCGAGGAAAACAUAUCCCAAGACCAUGAAUACAAAUGUAAAACUAACCUGUAAUGAGCAAAUCGGGACGACUGCGAUGAAGAAACCAAGGAACAAAGAACCUGUAAUGAGAAAAGGGAAAUCGGUUAGUUGAAACGAAACCAUAACCAGCAAAUAAUACAGUCAAACAAAUAAUGAAAAAAAAAUUCAUAACCAGCAAGAAACCCUAUUCCGAUUUACCAAGAAACAGAUGAAACAAUCGCAAUCGGAUUUAUAAAAAAAAUGCAAAAACACCCACUAAUGCAUGCAGAGAGGAAAGAUGCGAAGAAAUAUGCGAAAUAUGCGAAGAUGGAAGUCUGAGACCGUUUAGCAGAGAAAUAUGCGAAGAGGAAAGACGAGAAAUGAUGACCGGCUGAGACCAUUUAGCAGAGAAAUAUGCGAAGAUGGAAGUCAAGAUGGGCUGGAGCUUUCACUGCCAGCUUCUAUCGAUGUCGAUGUUGGGAGGGAGAGGGUGAGUGGAGAUCGGGAGAGGCUUGGGAGGGUAAAAGAUGACCGAUUAGGUAAUCCUUUCUUUUGGAAGGGAGUCCCAAAUCGGCGCUGCUAAGGGAAAAUGGGGAAUUCGUGCAGAACGGGAUACGCCCGUAUUAGGGCAAUACUGCCAACCAAACACGGUAAUAGGUGGGGCCACGGAUUAGGGGUGUAUUGGCUAAUCCAAUACACCCAACCAAACACGCUCUUAAUUUCUCCUAAUAAAUCAAUCAAAGAGUUAGAAACGAAAUAUAUAAUAAAAACAAAUACAACAUAACUUAACAUUAUUUGUAUUACAAACGACGAAUUAAACCAUUAUAAUUAAACACUAUAAAUAUUUAAAAUAAUUCAAAUUUUAUUACGUAAACAUACCAUAAUUUCUGCAGCUUCAGAAGUCAUAGGAGAUCCAUCUUUCUUCCUAUGUGUAAUGUCAAAAAGCUGAAGGCGUCCAACUUUUUGACCAGACGACAAUUUCUACAAUAAAGUAAUAAAAAUAUUAUUUAAUAGAAAGUAAUAAAUAUUUGACACUAUAAAUAAAUUCAAAAUACCUCGACCUCAGCAACACAAGUAAAACUUUUCGACCCAACUGUAUGAGUGAAUUUCUACUUUUUCCUGCUGCUUGUUUCAACUCGUUCACGAUCCUACAUUAUAAAAUUAUUAUUACGUAUAUAGUAAAUACUAUAAACCGAAAUAAUUAUAAGAGCUUGAAAGUACGUAAUACCUCUCAUUUCUUUAAAUUCCAAAAUCUAACCGCAUCUUCUCAUUGGUACCUCAGCGUUCCCGACGGGACAUUUCGCAAUUUCUCUUCGAGGCUUAUAUUUUUCUUAAAAUAUUUUUUAUUUAAAAUACUUUUAUGGUCUCUCCAUCUUUUUCCCAAUGCCUUCUUGACAUAAUUAUCCGAGACCUUUAAAGCAAACUUCUCCUACAAAAAACACAAGUUUAGAAAGUAAAUAUAAAUGAAAUUAAACCAAAGUUUUAUGAAUUACAUUCACAUUUUGUUACCUUAAUAUUAUCGAGAGCUUCAUUUUUUCUACUAUCAGGCAUUUGAUGCCAUUACUCGUAAUUGAUAGGCAACAUAUUGGCAUUUCGUGCUAUAAUGCCCAAAUAUCCUGCUAAAAGUUGAGCUUAUACUCCAACAGGCUGACCAAGAUUGUUUUUAGAUACUUUGACACGCUCGACAGGAUUUAACUCGUAUAAAUCUUUAAGUUGCGUACGUCCUCGACCUCUGCGCGUCCCUCCACAUUCACCUAAAAAAUGGUAUAUUAUAAUAUAAGAAUUUGAAAAAGAAAUCAAUAAUAAAAGUCAACACACAUGUAAAUUAAAUUUAAUAUUACUUUGAAUUUCUGCAGGUUCGUCAGGUGUAUUCGGAACAUUCGAAGAUCCAAUAGCAGUCUGUUGUUCACUAUUUGUUUCUUCCGAACUUGAAGUAUUUUGAUCAAUACUUGGAUCUUGCAAUCUUCUUCUAGGCAUUUUAUCUACAAUACAUAUAAAAUAGUUGAAAUUUUAGUAACUAAUUACAACAAUAAUAGUACAUAUAAAAUAGUUAAAAUAUUUAACAAGACCAAGAUUUAAAUUAUGAUAUUACAUAUAAUUAAAAAAUCGUAAAAUCUUACAACAUACUUUCCAUGUCAUCUUCUUUAACAGACUGAUGGUAAGCACUACGAGGAUAAGCCGGAUUAAUCAUUGAAGGGGUUCUACUAGGUGGGCACUCUCCAUGGAAAAACCAUUUUUUAUACCCCGAAUAAACCAAUCAACAAUUAGAUUUUCGUAGACAACUUCACGAAAAUGCCAAUUGAUGUUGACACACUUAUUACACGGGCAAAGAAUCAUAUUCUCUUGGCUUGCAUUUUGAAAUGCAAAAUUUAGAAAAGUUUGUACUCCAUUUCGAUAGUCGUUGCUUACCCUUGACAAAUUCAUCCAAGUCCAAUCCAUUUCGUAGUUCUUGAAGUCUAAAGUUGACAAUAAAUUACACGAGUAAGUUGUUUAUUUAUAAGUAUAAUUAAGUUAUGUAAAUUAUGAUAUGAUAUAUAUUCAUGUAUUAUGUAAGUUAUGUGAGUUAUGUAAGUUAUGAUAUUUAUUUUAAAAGUUUUAUAUAUCCCUUUGUUCUAAUAUAUUCUACUUUUGAACUUGAUUGUCUAUCUUUUUGCUUUCCGUUCACUAUACAAUUUAAUCUAUGAAAUUUCAAAGAAACAGAAAAGGAUAUAAGUCUAUGCAAUAUAUAUGCCAAAUGAAAUCAAGGAAGGAAAUCAUGAAGUAACAAUGAAGCAAUAGUUUACUUACCACACCAAGAGAAAAGUAAUGAGGUAGUAAACUGUAUUCAGUAGCCCAUAAGACAACACCCGAGAUAUUCGAUAUUGUUUCGAUUUCUUCAGCACACUGAGAUAGCAAAACAAAUUAAAAAAAAAUGUAGUGGACAAUUUAUCAAACAAAGUGCCUUUCAAAUCAAAUUCAAUAUAAACACAAAGUCAGCAAUAUCAAAAACAACAUCAACAGAUGACAUGCAUUAUCCAUUUUCAAAGAGACUGAAACUAAAUAAAGGGUCCAUAUCAGCAGUAACAUAAACAGCUAAAUAUAUGACAUGGGAAAAUAUUCCAUGAACAUAUUAUGUGCUCAAGUACACUAGUUACAGAUUACAAGCCCGUGAGAAAUUUAAACUGUGAGACACACAAAAUGGCAACACAGACCAGUAUUCAGGUUACAAAAUGAACGAAUGCCUGUCGAAGAAAGUUAAAUUAGUGAAUUUAAUCAAAGCAUUAAAGGAUAGUCAUGCAAGAGACAUUAUUUGAGAAACAGUUCAAACAAAGGGAGUCAUAGCUGAUGAAUCAUUUUGCACUCUGCCAACAACAAAGAAAAAGGAAAUCGUUAGGGAUUCAAGCAGCUUAAAGAUUUUAUCUUGGGGGAAAUGCUCAACAUAGUACAGCAAAAAUCAUGCUCAAAGAGAAACAGCCAAUCCAAAUACCAUUAAUUAUACACUACAGAAAGAGAAAUCCCAUUCCUUUCCUCCAUUCCUAUAUUGCAACAUGAACAUGCAUUAAUCAAUCACCAAACCAAAUGCAGAUAUAGGGAAACACAAACAAAAAUCUGAAGAAUCGCACAUUAGUGAAACACAUAAAAACUGUUGAUAACAUCAAAGAACAACAGCUAAUAACAGGAUCAACAACCCCAGAUCUUCUUUUUAUACAAAAAGAUCACCAUUCAGAGCUGAUUCAGAAACAGGAAAGCAACUAAAACAACAAGUCAUACCAAAGAACACAUUUACAUAGUGAAAAAGAAAAUCUGAACUAACAUAAAAGAUCACAGUAAAAAAAAAAACGAUAACAUCCAAGGUACAUACAAGAACCCAAUAAUCAUAAGUAAAAUUCUGAUAUGAUCCCAUAUCUAAAAACAUUAACUUGUUGACAAAACAGGUAGUUAAAGGAACAAAUAACAAGAACAAAGGAAAAAAGAAACGAAAUUUAAGAACCAAAAAGAGGGAGUAAACGAGUAAAAAGAAGGGAGAUUUAAAAUGAUAAACUUAACCUUCCCCAGGGAAGAAGAAAAGUUCUGAAUCGUUAAAAUUAAAUGUGAAAGAAGGAAGCUAAGGAAAUGGGUAGUUAUGUUUUGCAUUGAUUCGUAGCUAUUCCCAAACAAAACAUUUAUAUCCAUCGAAAAAUAACACCAACAUAAACAGGAAAACUAAACAAAAAGAAGCAGCACUUGGUCUUUGAGUUUUGACACUAAAAUCUCAAAAACUGUAUCUAUAAAGAGAGAUUGAAGAGUGGAAGAUGAUACCUGGAUCGAAGAGAUAUUAGGCUUUGUUUUGUUUCAUAUGGAGUGGAGAAAAGAGAAGCAAUCCAGAGAGUAUUUGUUUGUAUGGUGUUUUGGUAUAUAUAAAGGAGAGAGGGGGACCGGGGUAAAGAAAAGUGUUCUUUGUAUAUAUAAUAAAUAAAUUGUAUUUAAAAAAAUAAAUAAAUAAAGGCAUAAUAACUUUUUUAACCUUCCAACUUUAUAAAAAAUUUAUUUUAGUCCUAUAUUUAAUUUUUCAUCUCUUUGAACCAUUAAACUUAUGUUUCUUAUCAAAUUACCUCAAAACGGACUAACUUUUCUAAUGUGGCAUACAUCUGGAUUGUCACGUAGAUGGGAUGUUAGCAUUUAAUUAAUUUUUUAAAAUUUUAAAAAAUUAUAAUUUUAUAUUUUUAAUAAUUUUAAUGGUUUUUAAUUUUUAAAAGUAAUUUUUUAUUUUUUAAAAUUUUAAAAAAAUUAAUUAAAUGUUAACAUGUCAUCACAUGGUAAUUCACGUGUAUGCCGCCACAUCAGCAAAAUUGACAAACGUUAAUUUUUCAUCUAUUUUGGGUGGUUUGACAAAAAAACACAAGUUUAAGAGUUAAAAAGACAAAAAAUUAAAUGGAAGGUUAAAAUAAUUUUUUUUAUAAAGUUAGAGGGCUGAAUAAAUUAUUAUACUAAAAAUAAAUAAAGAAAGAAAAUAUAAAUUUUAAGCUAUUUUCUAGAAAAGUGGGUUGAAUUUGUUUUGUUUUUUUAAAUAAAUCGAUAUUAUGAUGUUUUAUAAAUGUAUCCUAUUUAAAUUUGGAUUUAACUCAAUUAAUUUAUAUAAACAAUUAAUUUUAACAAUUUAAAAUUUUCCAAACACAAAAAAGAAAUAUAGUUAAAUAGUUUUGAAGAAGAAAUAAUGGUUUAUUUAAUCUUUCAACUAAAAAAAGAUUUUUGGUUUCAUUUAAUUUUUUUUUCUUUUUUAACCUUUAAACUUAUGUGAAUUGUUACAUGAAUGUCAUAAUUAAUUUUUUAAAAUUAAUAAAAAAAAUAAAAAAUAUUUUUUUAAUAUUUUUUAAUUUUAAAAAUUAAUUAAUUGUUAACGUGGCACACACGUGAAUGUCACGUCAACAAAGUUAGCAACCGUUAAUUUUUUCUUUCAUUUUCGAGAUGAUUUGACCAACAAUAUAAGUUCAAUAAUUUAAAAGGCAAAAAUCGAAUGGAAUAUUAAAAUAAUUUUUUUAUACAAAAUUAAAAGGUCAAAUAAAUUAUUAUUUCGAACAAAUAAAAAUAACAAUGAAAAAAACAUAAAAUUUAAGACAACACGAGUUCAAACCGACUUAUGAAAUCAUUUAUUAUUCUUAAUCUCUCAAAACAUAAACUGAUUAAGAAGUCAAUGAAGAGCUACCCACUUUUUAAAAGAAACUGUCACUGGUUAGUGGUGUUUCAACGAUGAUAGGCAGUGUCAUCUGUCCAUGAUAACUUGUGAAGACAACAAAUAUACCCACAAAAUAGAUCUAUAAACUUAAAAGAGAGAAGACGCGUGGAGUGAAUGAAAAGGAAAAAGAAAAAGAGGUUUGAUGUGCAAGAGAAAAAGGCUGACGGUAACUAACCCGAAGACCAACAUCACCUCUAGAAAAAAAAACGAUUUAGAAAAAAAAAAAUAGGGUUUUUUCAAUGUUGAGUUUUAUUCAAAGAUUAUUAAUGUGUAUAUAUAUAAUUAAUAAAAACUUAAUUCAAUAAUUAAAACAUUAUUUUUCAUCAAAAUUAUAUAUAUACACAUGUAUAUAAUAAAAAACUAAAUGCUAAUGUUGAUUUUGAAGCAGAUUUUAUUCAUUUAUUUUUUUUAUAAUGCAAAAAAAUCUUAUGAAAUUUAACAUAUUUAUAGCGUCACAAUCCAUAUUUUUCGGGUAAUUUAUAGCUUUAUCAAUUUUCUCUCCUUUGAAGUAGAAAAAUUUUUAAUGGAGAAAGUUACCAAUGUAGGUAUUGCUGAUGUAAUUAAAAUUGUCAAAAUUUUUAAAAAUUAGUCCUUAAUUUUUGAACAAUUAAACUUUCAUAUUUUAUUAUUUAGAAUUUUAAAUUCUCAAAUAAGAUAAAUUAGUCCUAAAACUCAAGUUUUGAAAUUUUUACAAUUUAAUCUCUAUAAUUUCAAACUUUACUAUUUUAUGCUCAACUUUCCAAAUUUUCAUAUUUCAUAAUCAUAUAAUUAAGUUACAAUAUCAAUGUUACAGAUUUCAUUACUCAAACCCUUAGAAUUCAAAAUUUUAUAAAUUUUACAAUUUGACUCUUCAAUUUUUAUCAAAUUAAAUCAUUUUUCAACUUAUUCAUCCAAAUAAUAUUAAUAUUAAAUAUUUACCAGUUUCAACUUAAUUAAAAAUAAACUUGUAGCUAUAAAUUUAUAUUCCAUAAUGUACGGAAUUAACAAUUAAGCUUAAUUAAGUAAAUUAAGAUUAAUUAAAGCUAAAAGAUGAUUAAUGAAAAUAUAAAUAAAUUUUAUGAAAUAAAGUCAAUUAAAUAUUGAAAAGAUAAUAAAAUUUCAAAUGUAUGUUUUCUUCAUUAAAAAUAAUUUUUAUGAAAUAUUUUCAGGAAAUCUAUCAAACAAUUGAAAAUUUUUACAUAAAAUAUUAGUUUUUUUCAGAAAAAUAAUUAUUUUUUAGAAAUUAUUUUUUGAAAACCAUUUUUAAAUAAUCAAACGGAGCGUUGAUGUUCAAUUUUUAGGUGUUUAAAUUUGAUUUUUUGAAGCAAGACAUAUUUUAGUUUAGAUAAAAGGAACUAAUUGUAUUAUGAUGUUGUAAUCCACUACUAGAUGCUCCACAGAGAAGCAAAAGGCCUUGUGUAUUGCCGAAAAAAGGGGACUCUAUGUAUGUUUUUCAUUAUACAUAACCAAAGUUGUAAUCGGCUUUUUCGUUAAGUCGAGGCAAACUGGAAAGCAUUUUCAGUACUACAUAGAUCAAAUUAAUUGGGCAGUUUGAGAGCUUAUGCUGGUUUGAUAUUAGAUGUUUUUCUUUUCCCAAAAAUCAUUUUCAACAUCAUUGUAGCAAAAUAGGCUUUGUGAAAACAUCGCAAAAAAUGAAGCUAUAGACAACGUCGCUAAAUUUUACAGCGUUUUUUUCACAUAAACGGCGUUAUAGAAUAUGACCUUUAACGGUGCUUUUCUCACAAUCACCGCUAAAGAACAUGACAUUUAGCGGCGCUUUUAUCACAAAUGUCGCUAAAGAACAUGACCUUAAGCGGCGCUUUUAUCACAAACGCCGCUAAAGAACAUGACCUUUAGCAGCGCUUUUUUCUCAAACACCACAAAAAGUAUCGUUCUUUAGCGGCAUUUUAAAAAAAAUGUCACUAACUUUGGUAGAUUUGUAACAUUCAAUUUUCAUCCAUAUACAACCCCUUCCAGUAGCAUGAAAUCUAAUUAAAAACAGCAAAUCUAAAUGAUACUUCAAAUUCAAAAUAUAUAUGAUAUAAAGUGAUAACUAAAGUAUAAUUCAAAAUAUUCUUACAAUAAUGUUAAAAGAUACAAUGUUAAAAAUAUUCUUACAAUAAGAAAACAAAUGUCUAAGAUGGCGAAUUUUGCGACUGUUGAAACAUCUUCAUCAUAUUCUGAAGCUGUAGCUGGAGUACGUCGUACUUUCUGUUCUGCUCUGCUUCCCUCGCUGUUGCCUCCGCUUUAAGUUUAUCAAAGUUCGAUUGCAUCUGAGACAUCUGGUCUCUUAACCGCUGAACUUCAACUUGAGCUUGACUCCCCAAAGGCAUGGAUUGCUGCGAGCUGGAUCCAAAAUAUUGGGUUGGGUUAACAAAAGAUCCUUGAAAUCGAACCCGACCAUGCCUCUCAGGACCCAAAACUUCAGUAAUAAUCCGAUUAUCAAUGUCGUCAACAUUAACAGAACUAUCACUCGAAGCAACCGCUUUAUACUCCGCCUUUUUAUCCUUUAGUUUCUCC